CGGACGGGUGAGUAACGCGUGGGCAACCUGCCCCAUACCGGGGGAUAACAGCCGGAAACGGCUGCUAAUACCGCAUAAGCGCACAGCGCCGCAUGGCGCGGUGUGAAAAACUCCGGUGGUAUGGGAUGGGCCCGCGUCUGAUUAGCCAGUUGGCGGGGCAGCGGCCCACCAAAGCGACGAUCAGUAGCCGACCUGAGAGGGUGACCGGCCACAUUGGGACUGAGACACGGCCCAAACUCCUACGGGAGGCAGCAG
rnacentral:rRNA from 1 species